rnacentral:rRNA from 1 species
GCAUAAUCUCUGAGGAGAAAGUAGGGGAUCGAAAGACCUUAUGCUUUUGGAGCGGCCGAUGUCUGAUUAGCUAGUUGGUGGGGUAAUGGCUUACCAAGGCGACGAUCAGUAGUUGGUCUGAGAGGACGACCAGCCACACUGGGACUGAGGCACGGCCCAGACUCCUACGGGAGGCAGCAGUGGGGAAUUUUGGACAAUGGGCGCAAGCCUGAUCCAGCAAUGCCGCGUGAGUGAAGAAGGCCUUCGGGUUGUAAAGCUCUUUCAGUCGAGAAGAAAAGGUUGUGACUAAUAAUCACAAUUCAUGACGGUAUCGACAGAAGAAG